rnacentral:tRNA from 1 species
GGGGUUGUGGCUCAGUGGCAGAGCACUUGCCUCGCAUGUAUAAGGCACUGGGUUCAAUCCCCAGCACCA